GGACGAACGCUGGCGGCGUGCUUAACACAUGCAAGUCGAACGGAGAUACAUUGGAGGAGAGCUUCGGCAGGAAUCCGGCGUAUCUUAGUGGCGGACGGGUGAGUAACGCGUGAGCAACCUGUCCCAGACAGGGGGAUAACACUUGGAAACAGGUGCUAAUACCGCAUAAGACCACAGAGUCACAUGGCUCAGGGGUAAGAGGAGAAAUCCGGUUUGGGGUGGGCUCGCGUCCGAUUAGAUAGUUGAUGAGGUAACGGCCCACCAAGUCGACGAUCGGUAGCCGACCUGAGAGGGUGAUCGGCCACAUUGGAACUGAGAGACGGUCCAAACUCCUACGGGAGGCAGCAGUGGGGAAUAUUGGGCAAUGGGCGAAAGCCCUGACCCAGCAACGCCGCGUGAGUGAAGAAGGCUUUCGGGUUGUAAAGCUCUGUUAUAGGGGACGAAGGAAGUGACGGUACCCUAUAAGGAAGCCCCGGCUAACUACGUGCCAGCAGCCGC
rnacentral:rRNA from 1 species